GACAUGUACGGAACUUGCCAGAGAUGGCUUGGUGCUCGAAAGAGAGCCGUAACACAGUGCUGCAUGGCUGUCGUCAGCUCGUGUCGUGAGAUGUUCGGGUUAAGUCCCGCAACGAGCGCAACCCUUGCCAUUAGUUGCUACGAAAGGGCACUCUAAUGGGACUGCCGGUGACAAACCGGAGGAAGUGGGGAUGACGUCAAGUCCUCAUGGCCCUUAUAGUGGGGCUACACACGUCAUACAAUGGCCGGUACAAAGGGUAGCCAACCCGCGAGGGGGAGCCAAUCCCAUAAAGCCGGUCGUAGUCCGGAUCGCAGUCUGCAACUCGACCGCGUGAAGUCGGAAUCGCUAGUAAUCGUGGAUCAGCAUGUCACGGUGAAUACGUUCCCGGGUCUU
rnacentral:rRNA from 1 species